ACAGAGGAUUCUUCUUCAGCCAA
rnacentral:siRNA from 1 species